rnacentral:rRNA from 1 species
AUUGAACGCUGGCGGCAGGCUUAACACAUGCAAGUCGAGCGGGGGAGGUUGCUUCGGUAACUGACCUAGCGGCGGACGGGUGAGUAAUGCUUAGGAAUCUGCCUAUUAGUGGGGGACAACAUUCCGAAAGGGAUGCUAAUACCGCAUACGCCCUACGGGGGAAAGCAGGGGAUCUUCGGACCUUGCGCUAAUAGAUGAGCCUAAGUCGGAUUAGCUAGUUGGUGGGGUAAAGGCCUACCAAGGCGACGAUCUGUAGCGGGUCUGAGAGGAUGAUCCGCCACACUGGGACUGAGACACGGCCCAGACUCCUACGGGAGGCAGCAGUGGGGAAUAUUGGACAAUGGGCGGAAGCCUGAUCCAGCCAUGCCGCGUGUGUGAAGAAGGCCUUUUGGUUGUAAAGCACUUUAAGCGAGGAGGAGGCUCUUAAGGUUAAUACCCUUGAUGAGUGGACGUUACUCGCAGAAUAAGCACCGGCUAACUCUGUGCCAGCAGCCGCAGUAACAC